rnacentral:lncRNA from 1 species
AAAGAAUAGAUGAUAGAUAGAUAGAUAGAUAGACACAAGAAGACAGAAAGAAAUACGAACUAAUGAGUAUAUAAAACUCAAAACCCCUAAUUUGAUUAUCCACAAGCACAUAAUCUCUUAUAUUGGCCACAAGAAAAUCGAAACGCCCUUUCAACCAUUGUUUCUAAACAAGAUUCAACAAAACCUUUGCCAAGCUUGCACUUAAUCUCUCAAGAAUUUUCAUAUCUUUAUUAUAAAAACUAAACUAAUAAGAUAAAGACUAAGAUAAUAUAUAUAUAUAUAUUAUAUGGUUUAACUUAUUACAAUGGGCCCAAAAGUGACUUAUUUGCAUUAAUAAAGCAAGGCAGCCCACUCUAGAAUCUUGGGGAAGAUGUGGCGCACAUCAGGGGAAAUUCUAGAGCAACUGAAACUAUUUUGACCUACUCUUGAUCUGCUAGAGCAAGUCGGGCGUACCUCCAAGGCAUAUUGGGCACAUGUCUCUUUCAAAGGGCCUUUUAGCCCCUUCUCACAUUCCCUCAACUCCUCCAAGAACCCUUGAUCCAAUUUAAGUGGAAUCACCAUCACAUGACACCCUUUAUAUAAAAAUAAGAUAUCUUCAAGAACCCCUAACACGAUAAGGAUGACAUCUAAAGAUUCAAAGAUAAUUUGGAUUGUAUUAGUGAUUUCACCCAUCUUCAAUAAAUUUUUUAUAACAAUUUCGAUAAAAAAAUUUGUUGUCGGUGAAAGAAAUUAGAAAAGGUUUUUUCCUUUUUAAGAAAAAAUAAACGAACUUAUUUGUGAUGUUUUAGUGAGUGGGUGCAUUUGAUUAUGAAUGGACAAAUAGAGGUCGUUAAUGGAGGGGUGUUGAAUAGAGUGAGAGUAUUAGUUUAUGGUGUUAAGAAUGAAAGGAGGAAAAGGGGCGAUGCAUGGUAAUUGGCAUUUGUUUCUAGUGUACUAUUUCGGUGUUGAUGG